rnacentral:lncRNA from 1 species
ACCUAACUUAAUGGGAGGCUAUGAUCUAGUUAUCAUCAUAACUAUUUUAUUUUAGGAACCUAACAAUUUUAGAAGAUUUAAUUAGUUGAAUUGAGAGAUGAUAUGAGACUUGACCAGUUAAUCUUAAUCCUCCCACUGACUUCACCAAGUCAGAUUUAAGAAGAUCAUGCAUAAGCUGGUCCAGCCAACCAGUCAUGAAUCUUCUUAUUGGUUUCACC